AUUAAUAAGCAUUAAGAAGAAUUCAAUAACUUGAAAGAUAAGCAAGCAUAAAAUUAAAAUAAAAAUACACCCUUUCUAUCCCUAAACAUCCAAAGCACAUUUUCUCAUUAAAGCAGUUAGAGAAAUUCAUGAAUGUGCUUUUCUAAUCUCAUAAUCAGAAGAUUGACAGAAGAUAUUAUAUUUUAAUUAGUAUCUCAAUUCUCAUAUCAACGGCAUCUACCCCAUUAC
rnacentral:misc_RNA from 1 species